AUGGCUACCCGCUACUGAUCCGCAGUAGGCUACCGCUCAACCGCUGGUUUAUCCGUUGAUGUCGUAAAGUAAACGUAAACUCGUAAACAAAACCUUGCGGUUAAUGUUUGGGCAAUGGGAGCUUGGGAUGAAGAAGUUGUGCUGUGUUUCUUUCAGUAAAGCAAGAUUUGCAUAGAAAGGUGAUGGAAUAGUUCAUGAAUAAUUUUACGACAAGAAGCUGCCAUACUACGCCACACUUUGACAUGAGUAUCUGAAAUUCCAGUGAACCAGUCAGUUCACCAGCAACAGCUUCUAGUCCUGGCAAAAAGUCAGAAAACAAUGUAAGAAGAAACGACAACAAUUUAUCAUUUCAGGAGACCACAACAGAUCUAUGGCUCUAUGCAUCAAACAGGGCAAACAAGAGUUUGCAGUCAGCAUACUCAGUACUCUUUUUUCUAAAGACGAAAUGAAAUCCUUGAAAAUGUCUUGGGGCUGUUGUCACUUUGUCCAACAGCGCCCUGGAAGAACUGCUACUUUGCAUCACCACAAUUUAAAACAUUCCAGCCACAGAGUUCCAGCACAGCAUAUGCUUUACAGAUAUGAGCUAACUACAACAUUUGAUAUGAAUUCACAGGUACAAGUUGUAGAUAAUGUAGAAGAACUGGAAAAGAAAUAGAAAUUGGUUGCUCUAGUACUGCUACUCAUUCACCUUAGGGGCCAUAUUAGGGAUUAAUUAUUCGGCGAUUUUUCCACAAUUAGAUGGCGCGAGUGUCUUCGUUACUCAAGAGUCCAGACGAAAUUCCGCCAUUUCCUAAAACACUGAUUGGAAACCGCAUGUUGAAAACGUAUCGUUGGAUUGGAUACUUCUUAAUACGGCGUACUUUUCUUUCUUGACAUUUUUAUUCGUAAUAAUGGUAUUUAUCUGGUAACAGCCUAUAAUUUCUACAUGGCAAUUACAUCUGAUCAUGUGGCCUGAGCUGGGCCUGAGCAGCUGAACAUUUUGCCAAAAUGUCUCUUUUUCUUGUACCAGCAUCACGUUUGUCAGAAACACUUCGGAACACUUCGGGAAUAACGUGCUGGUGGAGUUGAGCUUUCCGUUGCUGCCCAACAUAAAUAUGGAUUUGAAGCAGCCAUCUGAUAAAGGAUGUUCCUCUUGCUACCUGUACUGUUGUGUGUUUCAUCACACGAAGAAACACUUAGCUACAAUUGAAGUUUAGCGUUUAUGUUCGCGUAGUGGCUGUCCGAUGUGGCACGUUGUUGCAGCCUAUGCUGGUGAAAGAUCUUUCUACAUCAAGUUCAAUUGGCCGUUCCUUGGUGCUGGUGUCGUGUUACCGAAGGUGCAUCAUUAUUUUGUUAAAUUGUCAUCGUGACUUGCAGUUUACCGUUUAUAAGUUCAGAAGCAACAAAAACAAAUAUGGGAUGUUUAUGUCAACAAAUAAUAAACAUGUUUCCGGGAUUGGGAAAAGAAAGUGGAGGGGGGAGGGAGGAUAUUUAAAGUUUGGAUAAAAAUUCAGUUAAUCUAUAACCCUAUAAAUGUAUCCCAAACAAUCAAACUCCACAAACAUAAACCUUCCAAUCCUUCAAACCCCGAAAACAUACACAUACCAAUCCUUACAUUUAAACCCAUAACCCUAUAAACCAAAUUUAAACCUUAACCAUAUAAUAUCUGUAAUAAGUAAAAAUAAAAAUAUUGCAUGAA